CAAAUUAGAUCUUGUUGAAGUAUUUCAUUUACAUUGAAAAGAAAUUAUUAAUUUAAUUAAUUUGA
rnacentral:tRNA from 1 species